rnacentral:rRNA from 1 species
UACGUAGGGGGCAAGCGUUGUCGGGAUUUAUUGGGCGUGAAGCGCGCGCAGGCGGUCUCUUAAGUCUGAUGUGAAAGCCCACGGCUCAACCGUGGAAGGUCAUUGGAAACUGGGAGACUUGAGUGUAGGAGAGGAAAGUGGAAUUCCACGUGUAGCGGUGAAAUGCGUAGAGAUGUGGAGGAACACCAGUGGCGAAGGCGACUUUCUGGCCUAUAACUGACGCUGAGGCGCCAAAGCGUGGGGAGCAAACAGG